CAGGGCCAUCCCUACGGUGCCAGUGUGCUUCAGGAUUCCUUUGGGAGAGAUGAAGAUGCCCGCUCCGAUGAUCGUGCCGAUAAUGAUCGAUAUUCCUCUCAGCAGAGUCACUUUCUUCUUUAACCGCACCUUGUCCUGGGUGCUGUUACUUUGCUGCCGGGAGCCCCCCUCAGGCGGCAGGAAGCCCUUGGUGCCCCGGCCGGGGGGUUCUCCGCUAGAGAUCGCCGAUAUUGCGCUGCUGGACAUGCUGCUCAAAGUCAGUAAGGAGUCACCGGUGCCUCUCGGUAUACACUCCCUGACUCUCUGAAUGCCACGGGGCUCUGCGUCCUGGCAGGUGGAUGUGCGAUUUAAAUCGGAUUCUGGCCACGAACACACAUUUCACAGGACCCUUCAAGCUGAGCUUUCCUGGAAACAUGAAAUGCAGUGCCCCUGAAAAAGUUCAGUCCAUACAGAGUAUGGUACAGAAGCACCCACACUGAUUUACAGCAUUAGCAGCUAUAAGGUGGCCAGAGCUCUGCUGCUGGGCAAGGUCGAGUCUUCACUGAGAGUGUGGUGUCCAGACACCUGGCUUUAACAUUAAGGACUCCUACACGAGGCAAAGAGUGAAGGGUAGUGCUAACUUACCUGACACGAUAAGAGCAAAUUUGGAGGCAAUUCUACAAAGAAAACAAUGCCAUUGACAAGAAUGGCAUCGACAAUGACUUUGUAAACAGCUUUCCCAGAGUCCUUCUGGUACCAAUGCCAAAUGCAAGCAACAAAUUGAUGCCGCAUUUUGGUUAGGCUCACUAUCAUGGGUCUCGUUAUGAUGUUACGACAGUGCAACCCAAUAAUAUACCCAGGUAUCUCCAACAUCAGAGAAGGUAACAUCCCAGAAUUACAAAGUCCCAAAUCAGUAUAAAGAAGAGAGUUCAUAGUGUUGGAGCAAUUCCACAUGCCUCAA